UACAGAGGUCCCAAGCGUUGUUCGGAUUCACUGGGCGUAAAGGGUGCGUAGGUGGGCUUGUAAGUCAGUGGUGAAAUCUCCGAGCUUAACUUGGAAACUGCCAUUGAUACUAUAAGUCUUGAAUAUUGUGGAGGUCAGCGGAAUAUGUCAUGUAGCGGUGAAAUGCUUAGAUAUGACAUAGAACACCAAUUGCGAAGGCAGCUGGCUACGCAUAUAUUGACACUGAGGCACGAAAGCGUGGGGAUCAAACAGG
rnacentral:rRNA from 1 species